GAUGAGAACUCAGCGAAAUGCGAUAAGUAGUGUGAAUUGCAGAAUUCAGUGAAUCAUCGAAUCUUUGAACGCACAUUGCGCCCCUUGGUAUUCCAUGGGGCAUGCCUGUUCGAGCGUCAUUUGUACCUUCAAGCUUUGCUUGGUGUUGGGUGUUUGUCCUGAGGGACUCGCCUUAAAGUAAUUGGCAGCCAGUGUUUGGUUUUGAAGCGCAGCACAAGUCGCGAUUCAAAGCUAUACGCCCGCUUCCACAAGCCUUUUUCACUUUUGACCUCGGAUCAGGUAGGGAUACCCGCUGAACUUAAGCAUAUCAAUAAGCGGAGGA
rnacentral:misc_RNA from 1 species